rnacentral:lncRNA from 1 species
GAGGCUUUUGAUCAGCAUCUUUGAAAGUAUUGCUUGUAUACAUUUCAAGUAAAAGAUCAUUCUAAUUAUUUCAUAGUCAUACUUUACAUGAAAGAGCUUUGUAAAUAAUUGGAAAAUCUUUAACAAGCUUUGAUUAAUAAUGCUGGCUUUAAUUUUAACUUCAUAUUAUUGUUUUCCAAAUGAUUUCCAUAAUAGAGACCAUGGUGGAUCUAAGCAUGAGAUUUUAAGUUCCUGCCUUUCAAAGGUGUGGCUAAAAACAAGGAGGAUAGAAAACACUGUGUGCUGUCAUGCCAAGCUCUCUGUGUAGGGACUUUAUCUUCACCAUUGCAUUUCAUCCUCAAAACAGCCCUGCAAGUUGUUGCUACAAGGCCACUGAGCUGACUCACCACCCCGGGAGUCAGUGAAGGCUUCCCCGAGGAAGCAGUGUUUGAGCUGAGCCUUGAAACAGAAGUAAGAAGACUCCAGGUAAAUGAGAAUAGCAAGUGCAUUUCAGGCAAAGGAAAGGAAGUGUGAAUGAGCAGGUGUGCCCUGUGAACUAAAGAUGGCUGUCCAGGGCAGAGCAUGCAUUUUACGAGGCUUGCAGGAGACCCAGUAUUACAAGUAGGAGAUUCAACAGGACCACCAAUACUGGGCAUGCAGGUGUCGCCAUGCAACUGUAGAAACGGGAAUGUCUGGUCUCCAAAUUCUCAUUGAUCAGAGAAAAUAAGAAUGGGGUAAUGAAAUAAUUUUUUCCUGAGGUGUAUUCUUAACUUCCAACUAAAUUUUCACUGCUGAAUCUUCAUAGCCAACACUGCACAAGUGUUAUUGACACAGUGCAUUGGACCCAGAGAAUGGAAAGUAAUUAUGUACAAGUUAGAAGUUAUGCUAGGGGGCCUGGAAAUUCUCGGACAGAAAUUCUAUUUUCUCAUAAUUUCAUGGCUUUUAAAUAUGUCGCCAUUGCAUAGAGUUUUCACAGCAGCUGGUAGAGAUGUAAUAUUAAUUUUAUUUGCCUAGGGAAGGGAAGGAAGUAGCUGGCCAUUGUGUGUAUGUGAUGUAGUAGGGAAGACUAGGUUACUCUGAAGUAGUUUCGAGCAUUAGUACCUUAGGUAUUGCAUUGAAUUAUUUAAGAAGGUGGGGAAAGUUCAGAAGAAAAUGAUUGGAAUGAUAGUACCAAAAUUUCAGUGAGGUAUGGUUAGUGGAAUUAGAAAUAUUUAUCCUGGACACCAUAGGAGAAUAUAAAACUAGUUUCAAAUAUUUGGAGAGCUGACAAGUAGAAGAUAAAUUAAGGAAUUGUUUGUAUUGUCCUAUGGCCUUGAGAAGAAGCUAUAUGGAGUCUUUUGCCUCAAAAUGAGAAAAGCACAAAGAUGUCCAAAGAGGCAAAGAGAAUUCUCAUUCAAGAUGGCAGACACAGCACAUAUCUCCUUUCUACUUUAAAUCUCAUAGAAAUGUCAGCAAAGAAGAACUAAGGGUAAUAAAUUAAAGACUACUCGGUACAGAAGAAAGGGCAUCAGGAACUAGGGAUAUAGAUAAGUUUCUUGAAAGUGGGAAUACUUGGAAUUGUAUUAACAGCUUAAAUCACAUUCACAGGAGAAGGCUGCAGUAGAGGCUAGAGCUAUUUUUCCUGGCAACAGACCCAGAGAGAAGCUCAACACUUGGAGUAUGAAAGGAGAGUUGGAAAGAAAUCAACUGUGGAAUAACUGCGUGAGUCAUAGUCCAUGUUCUCCUUCCCUGCAUCACAUGCUCAGGCUAAAACCAGAGGACUAAUAUUUAAAAUAAUUGAAUAGUCUUCGUGAGAAGGAGCCCUAGUUGGGGUGAUGCCUCAUCUGAGUAAACUUCUUCCCACUUUUGCUGGGAAGUGGGAGAAGUAGGGAGGGGGACCUCCAACCUCCUCUUCUUUCACUACAAGGUCUAAAGCAAAGGCUGCCAGUGACAGCCACUUGUGUAGACAAGAGAGAGCUGGACAAGGCCGAGCUAUCUGCAUUGAAUGAGGUGACUUACCUCAGUUGUAGGUAUGAAUCUAUAGCCAAGGAUUAUGAAAACCUGAAGAAAAAUGAGGACAAAAGAGCAGGUUGAGAGAAAAAAUACCCUGACUCUGGAGGAAAUAGAUAAUUCAGGACAUAGAAAAUUCUUUAUUCUAUGUAGUAUCCUCAUGGAAACAAAGUCGAGAGAAAGCAUUUUUAGUGCAAAAUUAGAUUGCUAAGAAAGAACAACUAAAACAAAAUAAAUAGUUAUUAAAAUGAAAAAGUAAUUGUUAAAGUUAGAAAUUCAAGGGAAGACCUGGGAGAAAAAGUUGAAGAAACUGCUCUAAAUGUAGUGCAAAAAGAUAAAGGAUGGAAAAUGUGGGAGAAAAGUGAAGAGAUUAGAGAAGCAUCCAAAGGGAUGUUCAGAAAGAGACAAAACAAAGAAUAAGAGAGAAUUUUCCAUAAGUGAGGAAAUAGGACUUGAGAUUGUAAGAACCCUAGAGAAUGCAAAAUAGGAUGAAUGAACAAACUUAGCCCAAGGCACAUUCUUGUGACAUUUUAGAUAUUGAGAAUAAAGGGAAGAGUCUAAAAGCCAAAAGAAUAGAUUACUCAGUGAGAAUCCAAUUGGUAUUAGAUAGAUCAUCAGCAACUGUAAAUGCUAAGAAAAACAAAACAAGAAGCAUGCCUUCAAAAUGUGUAAAAUAAAGUUUUUUGAACCUAAAAUUCUCUACUUAGCCAAACUAUCAAUCGAUCAAGAGUGAGGCAUUUUCAAGCAUGCAAGAACUCAGACCAUUUACCACCCACAGACUAUUUCUGAAAGAAUUACUGAAGCAAAACAAAAAAGAAUCCAAGUAGGAGGAAGCCAUGGCCUCUAAGGAACAGUGGAUCUCACCCAAGAUUGUAAUGAAAUAUAAUUCCAGGAUGACAACCUUGAGGCAGGCCUAGAAAGCCAUCAGUCUGAAUUAGAACCAGAAGUCAGAUGCUCUGUGAAGAAUCUCUUUCAGGAGGACAUGGAUUUCUUCUAUAAAUUGAAUGACUGAGAAGCUGAGUGGUCUUGUGACAAGGCAAAGGCAUGGUAGGUCAUUGUGAUAAGGUAUCAUCCAAACACUCUCCAAACUGUGAAGUAAUUUUCUUCUUCCAAUAGCAAAGGUUUAUUGACAAGAGUUACGUCUCCUCUAUAGGCUCAAGGGCACAGCUGUGCUUGGUUCUGCAGUGAACAAUGAUCUCCCUACGAAUAUUAUGAAUGCUACUUUUCAGUUUUCAGUUUAAAAAAUCAAUUUAUAGACAAUGCAUCAAAGAUUAAUUGUAGUUAUAGGACAAGUGUGAAAACAAUAGUACACUGGAAUGGAGGUUAGGAGAGAGGGAAGGAGCAAAGGAACAAGAUGUAAUGAUGUUGGAUUCUUUUCAUCAGAAAUAAAAAGAAUUAAGAGAUAUUGUGUCUACAUUUGAGAAGUCAAAAUAGGGUUUCAAGUAUCUUAUAUAAAUUUGUUAAUUGUAGUGAUAUCACACUGAGGCACUAUAACAUAGUCGUUAAGAGCAUGGAUCCUGGAGCCAGAACACCUGCGUUUGAAUUUUUGCCACACACUUCAAUUUGGGCAAAUUGCUUAUCUGUGCCUUGGUUUUCUCAGCAAAAAUUGAAAAUAAAUAGUUAAUAUUUCACAAAGUUAUUUGAAAAUAAAAACAGUUGAUAUAUAUAAAGUGCUUAGAACAGUCUUUGGCACAUAAAAAAUUAUUCUAUAUCAUCAUAUGUUACCGAUGAUAACGAUGAUGAUGAUGAUGAUGGAAAACAACUAAACAUCUGGAGAAAAGGGAACCCUUGUACCCUGCUGGUGGGAAAGUAAAUUAGUACAUUGAUUAUGGAAAACAGUCUGGAGGUUCCUCAGAAAAUUAAAAAUAAAUCUACAUAUUACCCAGAAAUGGGAUUUCUGGGUAUAUAUGCAAAGAAGAUGAGAUAAGUAUGCCAAAGAGACAUCUGCACUUUCAUGUUCACUGCAGCAUUAUUUACAGUAUCCAAGAAAUGAAAUCAAUGUAAGUGUCCAUCAGUGGAUGAAUGGGUAAAGAAAAUGCGGGGAGGGGGAUUAGGAAGAUGUUGGUCAAAGGAUACAAGGUUUCAGUUAGACAGGAGGAAUACAUUCAGGAGAUCUAUUGUACAAUAUUGUGGCUAUAGUUAAUAACAAUGUUUUAUAUUCUUGAAAGUUGCUCUAAGAGAAUAGGUUUUAAGUGUUGUCACCAUAAAAAUGUUAAGUAUGUGAGCUAAUGCAUAUGUUAAUUUGCUCAAUUUAGCUAUUUCACAAUAUAUACAUAUUUUAAAACAACAUAUUGACAUGAUAAAUAUAUACAAUUCUUUGUCAGGUACAAAGUUAAAUGAAAAUACAACACAAAACAUUGAAAAAGUUAAAAAAUAAAAAUUUAAUGGGCAGAGAUCGGAAAAGGGAGGUAGUAGCUUGAGAAAAUUUAUUUUUUCAAUUUUUUUAAAAUGAGAGAUCAACGAAUGUUUAAACUUGACAAGUUAGUAAAGAGAGGCAUAACCAUAUUCAGUGUUAUGGAAGCAAUCUUCAGAGAAAUUUCUAUUUUGUCCUAUUUUAAGGGUUUUUAAAAAUUCAUAUGCAAGCACUACUUUUAUUUAGUUUUUACCAAUUUUACUGAGGUGUAAUUGACAUACAAUAAACUGCACAUAUUUAAAGUGAACAGUUUGAUACAUUUUGGACUUAGGUACACACCCCUGAAACUAUCACAGUAAUCAAGAUGAUGAACAUAACCACCAACCAUCAUGCUCUAAAGUUUCUUCAUGCACCUUGAUAAUCUCUUCUUCCUACCUCUUCCCACUCCCCCAAUCUCAGGCAACCACCGUUCUGCUUAUGUGACAAUAAAUUGGCUUGCAUUUCCUAGAAUUUUAUAUCAAUGAAAUCAUAUAGUAUGUACUCUUACAUCUGACUUCUUUCAUUCAGCAUAAUUAUUUUGAGAUUAUUCACACUAUACUGUGUAACAAUACAUUCAUUCUGUGGAUAAACCACAAUUAACAAAUUUACUUGUUGAUGGAAAUCUGGUUUUUGUUUUGCUUUUUCCAGUUUUUGGCUAUUACAAAUAGAACUGCUGUGAUCCUUCAUGUACAAGUCUUGGUAUGGGCUGGGAUUUCAUUUCUUUGGGAUAAAUACUUAGAAGUGGAAUGGCUGGAUUAUAUGAUAGGCAUAUGUUUAAAUUUUUAAGAAACUGUCAAACUGUUUUCCAAAGUGUUUUACAGUAUAUGAGAAUUCCAGUUUCUCCACAUCCUUAUCUUGGCAGUCAACUCUAUCAGCCAUUCUGACAGCUAUGUUGUGGUAUCUUAUUGCAGUCUUAUUUUACAUUUCCUUGGUGACUAUUUAUAUUGACUAUCUUCUCAUGUUUUUGUUUGUCAUCUGUAUAUCUUUAUGGAAAAGUAUCUGUUCAGAUAUUUUGGUCGUUUAAAAA